ensembl:lncRNA
AGGCUACAAAUGCCUCAAGUAAGCUGCUGGCCUAAAGAGUAUGAGAGAUGUGUGCAGCAGAGAUUAAUGAACCCAUAGCCUGGAACCAAGCCCAGCCAAGAUCAGCCAACCUUAGCUGACCCCAGGAUGUGUGAGUUCUGUUUCUGGGGAAAUUAAACCAAUCAGAUAAGAUCAAGAAUGAGACUGCAUCCUGAUAAUAGCAUCAGAAGUAUCGAAGAAGUAGGCUUGGUUCCUGUUCCAGGUGUGUCCUCCCUGGAAAGCAGACAAUGAAACAGAAUUAGGAAGAUCUGAGAAGUGCAUGUCCGUGGAUGCCAUGGUUCCUCCGAGGAAAUGUCUUCUAAGAGAGCAGCAUGGAUGGGAAGUAGAAGAAGAGAAGUCGGUAAGUUCACAUGAGACCUGGUUUCCGACCCUCAUUCAGCAUUAGUUUAUGGUGACAGUCUCUUAACCUCUCUGGGUCUCAGUUUUCUCAACUAAGAAGGUGAAGGGGACUCUGAAAUCUAGCAUAUAUUUGAUUCUAGAUAGCAAGAAUUCUUAUUCAGAAAUCCCCUGGAAUGAGAAUGGUAUUAAGAAUAUGGAUUGCCUGAGUUUGAAAUCUGGCUUUAGCCUUGACUAAUUGUGUAAUCUUGUGUGAAUUAUAAAAUCUCUCUGGACCUUGGUUUCCUCAUCUUUAAAAUGGGACUAAUAAUAGUGCCUACCUAAUAGGGUUGAAAAUCCAAAGAGAAGAAAGCGUUUAGAAUGAUGCCUGUCACAUAGUGAAUGCUCAGCAAAUGCUAGUUCUAACUCCCAUCCCCUACCUACACAUGGUCCCACCUACAAAUACUCUUGAAAGGGCCUGGAGCUUAGAGUGAAAAUUUAAGGGGCAUAAAGGCCCAGGUGAGGCUCGGCAGCAACUAUGUCUAAGGAGAGACUUUUGCCCUGCUUUUUGUGUAUCCUCAUUUCUGAGAAAGGGUAAAAAGCAUUUUUCUUCCAGAGUACAAUUUGUGUUGCUUCCGGAUUGCCUAGUAACAAAAGCCUCUCCUCAUUCUUUUUCUGAUCUGAUUGUUUUCACCUCAACAGUUUUUUUACUUGAAGGUUUUAAAAAAUUGUUAAUUGAGUUCUGCUCCCCUGACCGCUUGAAGUCACUACAUCUUAAACAAAACAAGCCCAUAAUAUCACCUGUUACAACCUGCUCAGAGUCAUUAACUUUCUAUUCUUUUAUUUUUCGGAUGCUUGACAACCAGGCUUUCUUUGCUUCGACCAUAAUGAGGUGUCACCCUUAAGUUAGCCUCACAGCCUAGGGGGUCUGGCCCAUUUCUUCUCAAAGCCAGGGUUCCCACACUUUCAGGCCUUUGAUGAAAAGGAAAGAGAAUGUGCUUCGGGAAAUGAUUCCAAUGGUACAGAACCCGAAGAGCAAGACUGUUGUCGAUCAUAAUCAUCAAAAGGAGAGUUUACAACGGGAGGAAGAGAAAUGGAUAUUUUUGAAUGACUGAAGUAAGGUCUUUCUAAUCCCAUAGAACAAUUUAGCUGUUCAUUUUGAAAGGCGGCGUCCUCACUGUUGGCAAAGGGAUGCAGAAGUGGAAUUAGAACAGGGGUAGGCUGUGUGAGAGGGAAAUGGAAAACAGUGCAUCCAGCCUUGCUCUGAUCCUACCAGUAGCCUCUUUCCCAGGAGAUCAGAAACAGGGGCGUGUUCAUUGUUGUCAAGAGUCAUCUUGAAGCCUAGCAGUGUUUUCAGCAAAAUGGUGCAUAAUUUGCUUCAUGUUUCCAUGAGGAUGUUUCAUCUUGUUUAUUGAAAGAGGAAGUACAGUUAAGUCCUGUCACCGCUGGGAACCGGUGAGUUUCUUCUUCUCUCUACAUCCUAAAUUACUUUGAUAUUAAAGAAAUGUGACUGUAGACAUGAGAUAGGAACUGAGCAUCCUGUUUAUUUCCCUAGAGGCAAAAAACCCCCAAGAAACAAAAAAACAAAAAACACAAGCUACCAUUGCCGAGGAAGAAACAGAAACCAUAGCUGCUGGACUCUCCGUGUUUUUUCCCACUAGUUUUUCAGCCCCCUAAUUACUUAUCCCUAGUUCUUACUUACUUGUAUCUCAGUACGCCUUUUUUCUCUCUCCUAUUUGCCCCUUUCACCCCCCAGAACUCUGAGGUAUAACUGUCUCUCUAGUUCUACCCUUUGUCCCCUGAGAGGCAUAGCAGUCUAGCGGUCAAGCACUCAGUGACUGGAACACAUUUAUUACCCAUGUAAACUCAGGCCAGUUGCUCCCCUCCCUCUACCUCAUUUCCUCAUCUGUAAAAGAGAUUUAAAUAGUCCUAUAUCAUGGGGUGCUUGUAAGGACUCCAUGAGGGAACAUGUACAAAGCAUCUAGAAUCAAUGUUGGCUCUUUCUAGUCUUAUAUCCUCUGUCCUCAUCCCUUCCCAUAGAUUCUGUACUACUCACUCUCUAGCAAUUCAAAGGAAAAGGAAGAGAAAACUGGCUAAGAGAAACAGAAAGGUGAGUUCUAGUAGUAGCUUUCAGGCAGGGGGAAAGGAGCAUUCCACUGUCGUUGAAGUAUAAGAAGGCCCUCUCUAGAAUUUUUGCAGAAUGGUCUAGAACAAUCAUUUGAGCCUAUAUAAUUCAUACAGGAAAAUAGGGAUAUAGGCAAAGCUGUUUCUAGUUUCUCUGACACCCGUGAUAGAGAGCCCUGUUUAGCACACCUAGUCUUAAAAAAAGAAUUUAGACUAAAAAUUGACCUCACACUUUUGGCUUCUGUAGGACACAAGCAGAAUCUAAAAUACAUUAAUAUGGCCAUGAGGAGGAAUGAAGAAGGAUGAGAGAGAGGGGGUAGUAAAAAAGCAACUCAGUCCAUUUCUCCACUGCAUCUAAGAGGAAUUUUCCUAGGCUGAGAUCCAAUGGCCGCUCUGAAAUCAGUCCCAACUCAAAUCAUGUGGCACUUCAUGGUACUUUAAUCUGGGACCUCUGCAUUGAUGUGGAAUAGAGGAAAUGUGUAUGUGAAUGGCCAGAAUGAUGCCACCACCCUUCUGGGAAGCUCCACUUUAUGCCACUCAGCCAAGGCCUCAAAGAUACAUGAGUAGUUACUUGGUUGACAUUAUUAUUAAUCCUGUUAAUAGUAAAUUACAUUUUUGACAUUGCAUAAGCUUUUAAUAGUGGAGGACUUCAAACAUAUGUAAAAUAGACAGCUGUGUAACGUGAGUCCCCACAUAGCCUUCACCUAUCUUUAACAAUUGUCAACUCAGGGCCAAUCUUCUUUCAUUUGUGCUCUACCCACUUCUCUACUUUCCAUAUGAUUUCAAAGCAAAUCCUGGCUCUCAUAUCAUUUCAUCCAUAAGUGUUUCAGUAAAUUUCUCUGAAACAGAUUGGCAAACUCUGGCCCGUGGAUCAACCUCCUGUUUUAUAAAUGAAGUUUACUGGAACACAGCCACGCCCUUUUGUUUACCUAGUGUCUAUUGGCUGUUUUCCCAGACAGAGACCCUAUGGUCCACAAAGCCUAAAAUAUUUACUAUUUGGCGCUUUAAGAAAAAGUUUGCUGACCCCUGUGCUAAAAGAUAAAGACUUUAAAAAACCUAACUACAAUAUCAUUAUCAUACCUCGAAAAUUAACAAUAAUUUACUGCAUGGUAACUUAAAAU